UACGGUAGGGACCAAGCGUUGUUCGGAUUUACUGGGCGUAAAGGCGCGUAGGCGGCAAUUCAAGUCAGCUGUGAAAUCUCCGGGCUUAACUCGGAACGGUCAGCUGAUACUGCUUUGCUAGAGUGCAGAAGGGGCAAUCGGAAUUCUUGGUGUAGCGGUGAAAUGCGUAGAUAUCAAGAGGAACACCUGAGGUGAAGACGGGUUGCUGGGCUGACACUGACGCUGAGGCGCGAAAGCUAGGGUAGCAAACGGG
rnacentral:rRNA from 1 species